rnacentral:rRNA from 1 species
AUUGAACGCUGGCGGCAUGCUUUACACAUGCAAGUCGAACGCGGGUGAGGGGCAACUCUCACCUGAGUGGCGAACGGGUGAGUAAUACAUCGGAACGUGCCCCGUAGUGGGGGAUAGCUCGGCGAAAGCCGGAUUAAUACCGCAUACGAUCUACGGAUGAAAGCAGGGGACCCGCAAGGGCCUUGCGCUAUGGGAGCGGCCGAUGUCCGAUUAGCUUGUUGGUGAGGUAAAGGCUCACCAAGGCAACGAUCGGUAGCUGGUCUGAGAGGAUGAUCAGCCACACUGGGACUGAGACACGGCCCAGACUCCUACGGGAGGCAGCAGUGGGGAAUUUUGGACAAUGGGGGCAACCCUGAUCCAGCCAUGCCGCGUGAGUGAAGAAGGCCUUCGGGUUGUAAAGCUCUUUUGGCCGGAAAGAAAAGGCCGCGGAUAACACCUGCGGUCCUUGACGGUACCGGCAGAAUAAGCACCGGCCAACUACGUGCCAGCAGCCGCGGUAAUACGUAGGGUGCGAGCGUUAAUCGGAAUUACUGGGCGUAAAGCGUGCGUAGGCGGUCCCGCAAGUCCGCUGUGAAAGCCCCGGGCUUAACCUGGGAAUUGCAGUGGAAACUAUGGGACUUGAAUCCGGCAGAGGGGGGUGGAAUGCCACGUGUAGCAGUGAAAUGCGUAGAGAUGUGGCGGAACACCGAUGGCGAAGGCAGCCCCCUGGGCCGAGAUUGACGCUCAGGCACGAAAGCGUGGGGAGCAAACAGGAUUAGAUACCCUGGUAGUCCACGCCCUAAACGAUGACAACUAGGUGUUGGGGAAGCGAUUCUCUAGUACCGCAGCUAACGCGUGAAGUUGUCCGCCUGGGGAGUACGGUCGCAAGAUUA